rnacentral:rRNA from 1 species
AACGAACGCUGGCGGCAGGCUUAACACAUGCAAGUCGAACGGGUGUCGCAAGACAUCAGUGGCAGACGGGUGAGUAACACGUGGGAACCUUCCUCGGGGUACGGAACAACGCAGGGAAACUUGCGCUAAUACCGUAUACGUCCGUGAGGAGAAAGAUUUAUCGCCCUGAGACGGGCCCGCGUCGGAUUAGCUAGUUGGUGGGGUAACGGCCUACCAAGGCGACGAUCCGUAGCUGAUCUUAGAGGAUGAUCAGCCACACUGGGACUGAGACACGGCCCAGACUCCUACGGGAGGCAGCAGUGGGGAAUCUUGGACAAUGGGCGCAAGCCUGAUCCAGCCAUGCCGCGUGAGUGAAGAAGGUCUUCGGAUUGUAAANCUCUUUUACCAGGGACAUAAUGACGGUACUGGAGAAUAAGCCCCGGCAAACUUCGUGCCAGCCGCCGCUGU